AUCAAAAAUGGCUGGUAUUCUGUACGCCAGUACUACUACGUUAUAGCAUUGUUAGUCGUUCCUAUGGAGCUAGUACGGGGAAGGAUGAGAGCCUGGGUUAGGAUUGGCUGUUCUUCUGUUUUUUGGGGUGACACAUCCGAGUCUGCGCCUCAGUUUAUGGACAUGGUUGUUUGGACUUCCUUGUUGCUGACUAUCUCUCGGAAAUAGCAAUGUCCCUACUAGCUGGAGCUAAAAGAAAGAAACCAGACAUGGGCUACACUCCUGAUUUCAUAUCUCACUGUAUCAAACCACUCAUUCAUGAUAUCAAGAAGCAAGGUAUUCGUGUCGUUACCAAUGGUGGUGGAAUUAAUCCUGAAGGAUGCAUUAACACUAUUAUAAAACGUCAUGUCAUCUGAGGGGGUGGAGCUAUCAGCUGCCGCAAUAACCAGGAGGACAUGAUGAAGAACGUGAAGGAGAUUAAGGAUAGUGGAUAUGCUGUUGAUAUUGAAUCAGGUCGGACAUUACCCUCAUCUGCACUGAGCAUGAAUGCUUAUAUUGGGUAAGACCCUUUAACCCUUUAAGGACCGUAGAGACUCAUUUUAUGAGUCAUAGAUUAACUGCUUUGACAGGCAAAUUGACCCAUUUACACAUCAAAGAUGCUAAGCCAUAGCAACGCUUGUUUUGUUGCUUGUGUAGGUAUCUGUAUGUAUUUGCUUAUCAACUGUCUAUCAUUCUUGUGAAAGAGACUAUCAAAUCUCAGCUACUAUAUUAGUUUGGCACUGGCAGCAACUACACCCAUCUUAAUUUUGGUCAUUAAAGAGUUAAUUGAUUCUCAGUCAGUGGAGCCUUUAUAAUAAUAGACACUUUAGGACAGUAAAGUUAUACUACAUAGGUGUCAUUUCUCUGGAUUUAUUUUGUACAGCAAUAAAGAAUGUAUUUGUUACACUAGGUACUCUCUGUUAAAUGGAUGUAUCUGCUAUAGUUUAUAACAUUUAUACCAUUCAUAUGUAGAAUUUAGAUAUGAUUCUACCAGUCUGGGAGAGAGGGUGAGAUUUAGUGCUCAAGCUGCUUAUGAGGAAGGAUAAGGUUUUAGUCUAGUUGACACCCAAACACUGAAAUUAACUUGACACAACAUGCAUUUAUAUACAGAUAAUAAUCAAGGAAUAAUUCAUAAGUUCUGCAUCACGAUGAGUCAGCUCACUACACAUGUAUGAUCUGACUGGACGGAAUCAAAGGAGGUUAAGAAAUUUAGCAUAUAUGAUUAAUGAUCUCUCAUAAAGUUUACAUUAUAUUCAUAUUGUUUAUUUUGUUAUGUUCAUUUAAUUUUCCGAAUAAAUCUGUCAACUUUUAUGAU